AAAUAAAUAAGCCAACCUUGCUCCAAAUUUACCGUCGGCUUCAAGUUUCCCGUCAACAAAUCUUAAAAGGAAGUUUAGAAUUCAUAUUUUUCCUAGUUCAAAUCUCACGUUCUUUUCCUCCUCCUCAAAACCCAUGACCUUUUCUGUGCUCUGUUGGGUGCUUCAUCAUUAACCGUCAUCUAUUACCACUCUGUUUUUCUAGGAAAAUGAUCAGCAAAGCGCGAACAUUAAAAGGUGUACGAUUUUCUUUGAGGGGUUCUUCCAUGGGUUCGAACACCUUGGGAAGUGCUGCUACCGAUAGUCAAAGUAUGGGAGAUGAAACUCUAACUCAAAUAGCAAAAGAAGUACCUGCAACUCUGGCUGAGGCUACUAAGGGUACUAAGAGAAAGCGAGGGCCUACAAAUAUGAAAGAUAUAUGGAAUCUUCACCCAGGAACUCGUAUAAUAGUAGAUGACAACCAAUAUGGCUAGCCUAUUGGGAAGGAAGUGUCCAAAUUGGCUGAAUUUCUUGGUACAAUUGCAAAGACUGGUUCUAUCUAUCCUUUGAAUACAAAACAUUGGAAACAUCUUUCCAAAUAUGUGUUGGAAAACAUAUUGAGAAUCGAUCAUGAAAAGUUUGAUCUCCAAGGUAAGGUGGAGGACUCCAACAUCCUCUCACAUGUUGGAAAACUCUAGAAGGAGUUUAAAUCGACUUUGAAGACUAGAUACCAUAAAAAGAUGGUCAGAGAAGGUUGACCGAUUUAAGAAAUAUAUGAAAACAAUACUCCUUGUGUGCAUGAUGAUCAAUGGAAGUGGUUGGUGGAGCAAUGGGGAACACCACAAGCUACGGCACAAUCAGAAAAGGCGAAAGAAUCCUGAACAAAAGUGCAUUAUGCACACACCACUAGUAACAUAGGAUAUGCGACCCUCAAUGCACAAUUUGCUGAGAAGGAAGACCGUGAACCCUUGCGUUUGGAGCAGUUUAGAUUUCAACAUUUGCGAAAAGAUGAGAGUGAAAAAUUGAGCAGUGAGAUAGCAGAACAAGUUUAUGUAAGAAACAAAUGGGUAUUUUUUAUGUUAAUUUAUUUUGACAUCAGUUUUACUUUUUUUUAAAAUAUAUUUUUCUAAUAAAAGAGAACUGUAGAAUGAAGCAUGCAAGAGGGUUAAAGAAUCUAUGCCAAUACCUGAGAGUUCUUUUGCACAUCAAAAUAAUAUUGCAUUAGAAAACAAGGUGUAUACACAAUUGUUCGGCCCUGACAAGGAUGGAAAAAUGUUGGGAUAUGGACGUGGGAUGACCAAAUCCAGGUUGUUUGGCUAUGGUUCAGUCACCCGAGGAAGCCAAUCUACAUUAGUCAUCAGUACAUUAAUUAAAGAGAUAAGCACUAAACAUGUUGAGAAAAUAUAAACAAUUCAAGUCGAACAAGCAGUUUGAGAGAAAACUCUACUCGAGGAAGUAGAAUCUUGAUUCUGUAGAAAGCCGCAGAGUGAGAAGCUCGUUUGAUAGCUGAGGUAGAAGAAAGAUUUAUGAAAUUAACUAAAAUUCGAGAGACAAAGUUCAUGGAUAUGAUGGAUGCUCGUGAGAAUAAGUAUAAGGCUCUCCUCAACGAGAAUAUGGCAAAGGGAAUGUCAAGUAAGUACAAGGCUUUUCAUAGUAAGAUAAUAAAGUGACUAUUUUGUAACUAGAUUGUCAAUAAGUUUGUUAAUGAUUUAAUAGACAUUGAUUGUUGUAAUUGAAUGGUAGGUUCUUAUUUGAUGUCUUCAUUGCUUACUCAACUAAUAAUUAAUGGAUGUAUUGAUGAAAAUUCUUUAUUUAGUUUCAA